rnacentral:rRNA from 1 species
CCUGGCGGCCAUGGCGAGCGGGAACCACCCGAUACCAUCCCGAACUCGGAAGUGAAACCGUUCAGCGCCGAUGAUAGUGUGGGAGAUCCCAUGCGAAAGUAGGACACCGCCAGGC